UACGAAGGGGGCUAGCGUUGCUCGGAAUUACUGGGCGUAAAGCGCACGUAGGCGGAUUGUUAAGUCAGGGGUGAAAUCCUGGAGCUCAACUCCAGAACUGCCUUUGAUACUGGCGAGCUUGAGUUCGGGAGAGGUGAGUGGAACUGCGAGUGUAGAGGUGAAAUUCGUAGAUAUUCGCAAGAACACCAGUGGCGAAGGCGGCUCACUGGCCCGAUACUGACGCUGAGGUGCGAAAGCGUGGGGAGCAAACAGGG
rnacentral:rRNA from 1 species